rnacentral:rRNA from 1 species
GAUGAACGCUGGCGGCGUGCUUAACACAUGCAAGUCGAACGGAAAGGCUCCUGCUUGCAGGGGUACUCGAGUGGCGAACGGGUGAGUAACACGUGGGUGAUCUGCCCUGCACUUCGGGAUAAGCCUGGGAAACUGGGUCUAAUACCGGAUAGGACGAUGGUUUGGAUGCCAUUGUGGAAAGUUUUUUCGGUGUGGGAUGAGCUCGCGGCCUAUCAGCUUGUUGGUGGGGUAAUGGCCUACCAAGGCGUCGACGGGUAGCCGGCCUGAGAGGGGGUACGGCCACAUUGGGACUGGGAUACGGCCCAGACCCCUACGGGGGGCAGCAGUGGGGAAUAUGGCACAAUGGGCGCAAGCCGGAUGCAGCGACGCCGCGUGGGGGAUGACGGCCUUCGGGUUGUAAACUCCUUUCGCUAGGGACGAAGCGCAAGUGACGGUACCGGGAGAAGAAGCACCGGCUAACUACGU